rnacentral:rRNA from 1 species
GAUGAACGCUGGCGGCGUGCCUAAUACAUGCAAGUCGAGCGAACAGAUGAGAAGCUUGCUUCUCUGAUGUUAGCGGCGGACGGGUGAGUAACACGUGGGUAACCUACCUAUAAAACUGGGAUAACUCCGGGAAACCGGGGCUAAUACCGGAUAAUAUUUUGAACCGCAUGGUUCAAUAGUGAAAGACGGUUUAGGCUGUCACUUAUAGAUGGACCCGCGCCGUAUUAGCUAGUUGGUAAGGUAACGGCUUACCAAGGCGACGAUACGUAGCCGACCUGAGAGGGUGAUCGGCCACACUGGAACUGAGACACGGUCCAGACUCCUACGGGAGGCAGCAGUAGGGAAUCUUCCGCAAUGGGCGAAAGCCUGACGGAGCAACGCCGCGUGAGUGAUGAAGGUCUUCGGAUCGUAAAACUCUGUUGUUAGGGAAGAACAAAUUUGUUAGUAACUGAACAAGUCUUGACGGUACCUAACCAGAAAGCCACGGCUAACUACGUGCCAGCCGCCGCUGUAA